GACCAUACAUCAUCUCUAAUCUGGCUGGGAGUAACAUCAGAUAUGGAUAUAUUUACUCGAUAAGAAGAAGAAGAAGAAGAUUGAUGGUUGUGUUGGUGGUGAGAAUUAUCCUGAUUUUGUGGUUGGUCAAUCCUUCCAUGUUCUUCGUCGACUCGAGAAGUAGAAACUGAAGAAGAAGGAAGAAGAGGCCCACGUUGAUCAUAAUUAUCUGCUUCUUCCAUGGUAACAAAUUAUGGUGGGAAACAAUUAGGCCUCUGGGUUUCGUCUGAUAAGAAAAAAUGAAAUUG
rnacentral:misc_RNA from 1 species